CCCUACGGGGUGCAGCAGGAGGACUUGACCAUCACGGGGCAGACCUUGAGAGUCUUCGCCGCAGCCUCGGCGGGUGCGGGUAAGGAUAAAAACCCUGAAUCCGGUAUGAUGGAUAAAAUCGAUCGCAUCGAGAUCGAAGGGGAUGUGAAAAUUUCUCAACAGGAUAAGGUCGCGACUGCCGAUAAAGCAGUGUACUACCACGAAGAACAGAAGAUCGUCCUCACCGGCAAUCCCGUGGUCUCCCAGGGGGCGGACAAAGUUCAGGGGCGCAUGAU
rnacentral:rRNA from 1 species